rnacentral:tRNA from 1 species
GCGCCCGUAGCUCAGCUGGAUAGAGCACAGGUUUGCGGUACCUGCGGUCAUGAGUUCGAAUCUCUUCGGGCGUGCCA